AGAGUUUGAUCUGGCUCAGAUUGAACGCUGGCGGCAUGCCUUACACAUGCAAGUCGAACGGCAGCACGGGGCAACCUGGUGGCGAGUGGCGAACGGGUGAGUAAUAUAUCGGAACGUACCCUGGAGUGGGGGAUAACGUAGCGAAAGUUACGCUAAUACCGCAUACGAUCUACGGAUGAAAGUGGGGGAUCCGCAAGGACCUCAUGCUCGUGGAGCGGCCGAUAUCUGAUUAGCUAGUUGGUAGGGUAAAAGCCUACCAAGGCAUCGAUCAGUAGCUGGUCUGAGAGGACGACCAGCCACACUGGAACUGAGACACGGUCCAGACUCCUACGGGAGGCAGCAGUGGGGAAUUUUGGACAAUGGGCGCAAGCCUGAUCCAGCAAUGCCGCGUGAGUGAAGAAGGCCUUCGGGUUGUAAAGCUCUUUUGUCAGGGAAGAAACGGUUUUUCCUAAUACGGAAGACUAAUGACGGUACCUGAAGAAUAAGCACCGGCUAACUACGUGCCAGCAGCCGCGGUAAUACGUAGGGUGCAAGCGUUAAUCGGAAUUACUGGGCGUAAAGCGUGCGCAGGCGGUUAUGUAAGACAGAUGUGAAAUGCCCGGGCUUAACCUGGGAACUGCAUUUGUGACUGCAUGGCUAGAGUUUGGCAGAGGGGGGUAGAAUUCCACGUAGCAGUGAAAUGCGUAGAUAUGUGGAGGAACACCGAUGGCGAAGGCAGCCCCCUGGGUCAAGACUGACGCUCAUGCACGAAAGCGUGGGGAGCAAACAGGAUUAGAUACCCUAGUAGUCC
rnacentral:rRNA from 1 species